GUAAAAAAGGGAUGCACAGUCGGAAGCUUUUAUUUAAUCAUUCAUUUCCGGAUUUCCCGAUUUAAACGUAAUGAAAAAAUUUGAACAUUAAAACUAUAUAAAAAGAUGGUUGCUGGUGGUAUAUAUCAUAUUGCUUCUUCAAAGUAUUCUACAAAGUUGGAAAUUUCAUUGCAAUUGCGACAAAGAAAUGGGACCCAUACUAAGAAAAAUUGUCGUUUUCGUCGUGCUGGCACUGUGGAUCGUAUCUAUUGAAGGACGAAGGAAAAGGUUUCAGAUCCUUUCGAGAUACGGCAGACGUCGCUUUUGAUGAUCUUAUCAAGAAUACUAUUUUUAUUAAUGAAAUAUAGCCUUCAAUAAAAGAAAAGAAAAUUUGCAAAGUUAUGUGUACGAUUUUUAUAUAAAAAGGCGCAUGAAUGUCAGCCGAUCGAUAGUUAGAGUUCGAUUUGAUUCCAAUACUGUUUCUAGGAAAAUAUUGCUCCCAGAUUACAGAAUAGUCUUUGAAGUAAGGAAUACAGUAGAACUCUUUAUGAAAAAGUUUCAGAAUAUAAUUAGCUCUUUAUAGAAUCGGGUUCAGAAUUGAAGAAUAUGAAAAAGGACUUUAACCUGAUGGAUGGUUUUGGUUCAACAAGCCAAAGGUGGCUAGAAGAUUUUUUUCAUUAUUUUUUUGUAAUGGAUUGAUGAUAAUAUUAGCGAAUAUUGUGAAAUAUGGAAAUCCCUACAUAACGUAACUAAUCUUCCGUAGUUUGUUGGAAAGGUUAUACGGAUCGAUGAAAAAACAAUACGUAUAGACAAGUACGAACAUUAAUCCCUUUCUCUGCGCUCUUGUGAACAGGGCUGGAGAGACGAAGCUGGAAUUAAGCUUACCAUAUCAGAUAGAGCUACAAGAAAUGGGUUCAAAAACCUCGUUUUUCAAAAUUUUUAAAAGAUUUUAAAGUUGUCGAUAACUCGUGCGAUUGCAUUCGUCAAAAUCGCUGGUUGUUUCUGUCGGCGUGACGUGUUAUUUAGACAGUAAAAAUCUUUAUGUCGGUGUUUAUACUAUCUAGAUCAGAAAUUUCCCUAAACAUAUGUAGGACGAUAAUAAAUACAUUUUUUGUUGCACGCACGAAAGAAAACGCCUUUAUGGCAAGGCAAAUUUGUGUGCCUGUGACACACAUGACACUUUGGAAGCCAUACCAUCACUGAAAUCGACAUACAGUCGUACAAUUGUGUACCUUUUAUACAUUUCACUAUGUAGGAUUUCAUUAUAGAUUUGGGGAUUUUUCUAACCUUGAUAGCUUAACAAAAAUAUUCUCAGUCGCCAGCAUUGCGAUAGAGCAAAGUUGAUAAUGAAAGAACUGCUCAAAGUCGUCAAAUUCUCAAAAUAGGAGUCAAACAAGAGAUAAUCUUGCACAUCAGCACACAUUUUUAUGCCCGAGAAUUGCCAUGGCAUUCUAGAAUAGAAAUUCAUUUAUUUUUCCCGCAAGUCGAUGAAAAUGCGAGUUACAUUGAACACAAUUUAUUUAUGAAUUAACUAUUUUAAAUGUGCCCGUAUCGGUCAUAGAUUGAUUACUCUGAGAAAUAAAAUAUUAUUAUCUAGUGAAAAAGUCGACUCUUCUAAUGAGUGGAGUGAACGUGGCGACUGUUUCAGAAACCUUUCCGCGGGGAUUUCGAGGCGAUGAAUAUAUGUUCUUGAUAUCCUUAUAUACUUUACAUGUAUUGUUAUUGUACUAAAUUAAAUUGUACGUUCCGGAUAACAAAAUCGCAAGGUCACAAAAUUAAACUAAUUAUAAUCUGGCAGUUUAUCUCAAAUUUUUACGCCCGCAUAUUGCCGCAGUAUUUUGGCGUGGAGGUAUUUUAGCGUGUCGUAAAUCAACGACAACGACAAUUAAUUUAUCACAGAAAGACAGUUUAAUUUCUCGAAAUUGUCAUGGAUUGAAUAUUUUACGCGACAGAAAAACAAUUCUUUAUACGCUGAAAAACUCAGCUUUUUAUACAAGCGCGUAACCGCGGAGAAUUUCCGAUUUUGAAUUCGUGAGUAAUAUGAAGAAACGGAAGUAAAACCAAAUAUACACAUUGACAACUAUUUCCAGUUCAUUGUUCCUGUGUGUAUCCAUGAAAGCUGAAAUCAAAAGUGAUCAUGAAAACAGAUGGAGAUUCAUGUUAUUGUAUAAAAAAAAUAAACGAUUUGUUUAUUCGCUAUAAAUCAAUUUGGCAGAGCAAAAAAACACAUACGCAAUUAAAAUAUUAUGAUUGAAAAGACCGCAAAUACUCAGUUGGUAUUGCUCACUUAUAUUCUUAAAUGUUGUUUGAAUUGAGAUCAUUGGAAAUUAUCAAUGCAUGAGCUAUUUAUCAUCUUUUAUAGAAAAUGGAAACGUCUGGAUGAUAAUCAUGGACGAUUUCUGGAUUCAACCAAAUGAAUUCUAUUUUGUUUAUCGCUUAUUGAUUUCAGUUGCAUGUUUAUCCCAUCAGGGCGCAUCCGCGCCCCUAACCUAACUAAAACAACAAAAUGCAAAAUACUCAAUCCAUUGGAAGCUUCGGUGAAAAUUGCAUCAUUUAUUACGCCUAUGACAGGAAAAAUAAAAUUAAAAUUUGAGAACACCAAUAAAUUUUGCAAUGUAGUAACAAAUAUAUAAAGACAUAUAUAUACAAAGUCGGCCAAAAAUGUUACCGUUUUGUACAUUCGGAAUGUAUAAAAUGGUGACAUUUUUUUAGCAGACCCUGUAUAUAAAUACAAUUAUUAUAUAAUUAUACAAGUAUUUCCCGGGGAUAUAUAGUGUAAGAGGAAUUAGCCACAUUGGAUGCAAGUUAAUAACAGAUCGAAAUCACGAUUGGAAAGUUCCUUGCAAUUGCGACAAAGAAAUGGGACCCAUCUUACGGAAAAUUGUCGUUCUCAUUAUGCUGGUACUGUGGAUUGUAUCUAUUGAAGGCCGAAGGGGAAGUUUUCAGAUGCUUCCAAAUAGCAGACGCAGAUAUUUUUCUGGAUGAACUUAUCGAGAAUACAAUUUCAAUAAAAUACAGCUUUUAAUCAACAAAUGACAAUAAAAUUAACACAGUUAUUUUGUACAGUUCUGAAAAUAAAAAUGAGCAUCAGUCGAUCGAUGUUUUGA